AACGAACGCUGGCGGCGUGCCUAACACAUGCAAGUCGAACGGAAUUGAGGGGCUUGCUCUUCAAUUUAGUGGCGCGCGGGUGAGUAACGCGUGGAUAAUCUGCCUGACGAUCUGGGAUAACAUCUCGAAAGGGGUGCUAAUACCGGAUAAGCCCACGGGAACUUCGGUUUUUGCGGGAAAGGGGGGGGACCUUUUGGCCUUCUGUCGUCAGAUGAGUCCGCGUACCGUUAGCUAGUUGGUAGGGUAAAGGCCUACCAAGGCUACGAUGGUUAGCUGGUUUGAGAGAAUGAUCAGCCACACUGGAACUGAGACACGGUCCAGACUCCUACGGGAGGCAGCAGUGGGGAAUUUUGCGCAAUGGGCGAAAGCCUGACGCAGCAACGCCGCGUGAGUGAUGAAGGCUUUCGGGUCGUAAAGCUCUGUCAGAGGGAAAGAAGUGUAUUGUGGCUAAUAUCCGCGAUACUUGACGGUACCCUCAAAGGAAGCACCGGCUAACUCCGUGCCAGCCGCCGCUGUAA
rnacentral:rRNA from 1 species